rnacentral:rRNA from 1 species
CCUACGGGUGGCAGCAGUGGGGGAUAUUGCACAAUGGGGGAAACCCUGAUGCAGCGAUGCCGCGUGAAUGAAGACGGCCUUCGGGUUGUAAAGUUCUGUCGCAGGGGACGAAAAUGACGGUACCCUGCAAGAAAGCUCCGGCUAACUACGUGCCAGCAGCCGCGGUAAUACGUAGGGAGCAAGCGUUGUCCGGAAUUACUGGGUGUAAAGGGAGCGUAGGCGGGAGGAUAAGUUGAAUGUGAAAUCUAUGGGCUCAACCCAUAGCUGUGUUCAAAACUGUUCUUCUUGAGUGAAGUAGAGGCAGGCGGAAGUCCUAGUGUAGCGGUGAAAUGCGUAGAUAUUAGGAGGAACACCAGUGGCGCAGGCAGCUUGCUAAUCCGCAUCUGACGCUGAUGCACGAAAGCGUGGGUAGCGAACAGGAUUAGAUACCCCGGUAGUC